rnacentral:tRNA from 1 species
GGAUAUAGCUCAGUGGUAGAAUGCUUGCUUAGCAUGCAUGAGGUCCUGGGUUCAACACCCAGUGCCUCCA